AGCCAGACUCCUACGGGAGGCAGCAGUGGGGAAUAUUGCACAAUGGGGGGAACCCUGAUGCAGCGACGCCGCGUGGGCGAGGAAGUAUUUCGGUAUGUAAAGCCCUAUCGGCAGGGAAGAAGAAAUGACGGUACCUGAAUAAGAAGCACCGGCUAAAUACGUGCCAGCAGCCGCGGUAAUACGUAUGGUGCAAGCGUUAUCCGGAUUUACUGGGCGUAAAGGGAGCGCAGGCGGCGCGCCAAGUCUGAUGUGAAGCCCCGGGGCUCAACCCCGGGCAUGCAUUGGAAACUGGCGGGCUGGAGUGCCGGAGAGGUAAGCGGAAUUCCUAGUGUAGCGGUGAAAUGCGUAGAUAUUAGGAGGAACACCAGUGGCGAAGGCGACUUUCUGGACUGUACCUGACGCUGAGGCGCGAAAGCGUGGGUAGCGAACGGGAUUAGAUACCCCUGUAGUU
rnacentral:rRNA from 1 species